ACGGGUGCUAGAGAGUAGCGCCAGAGAUGACUCAACACGAGACACGGCCUAGGGGCGCAGCAGCACGAGAACUACUCACAAGGUGGACAGCACAACGAGAUCAGACGAGUGUCUGCUGAGAAACCAACCUGUCAGUCAGUCCUACACACACGGAUGAAGAAGGGGUGGGCAAGUUCUGGUGUCAUCCGCCGCGGUCAAACCAGCACCUCAUAGUGGUCAGGAUGAUUACUUGGGCCUUCAGUAUCCGUAUCCGGCUCUUGUAGUUUUUCGGUUAAAUCUGUACGCUCAACGUACAGGCUGCCGGGAAUACUGCAGAGUUAGGGAGUGGGAGAGGUAGACGGUACUCGGUAGGAAGGGGUAAUAUCCUUUGAUCUAUUGAUGACCACCUGUGUGCGAAAGCGGUCUACCAGAACACGUCCGACGGUGAGGGAUGAAAGCUGGGGGAGCAAACCGGAUUAGAUACCCGGGUAGUCCCAGCUGUAAACUAUGCAAACUCAGUGAUGCAUUGGCUUGUGGCCAAUGCAGUGCUGCAGGGAAGCCGUUAAGUUUGCCGCCUGGGAAGUACGUACGCAAGUAUGAAACUCAAAGGAAUUGACGG
rnacentral:rRNA from 1 species